UACGAAGGGGGCUAGCGUUGCUCGGAAUCACUGGGCGUAAAGCGCACGUAGGCGGAUUGCUAAGUCAGGGGUGAAAUCCUGGAGCUCAACUCCAGAACUGCCUUUGAUACUGGCGAUCUUGAGUCCGGGAGAGGUGAGUGGAACUGCGAGUGUAGAGGUGAAAUGCGCAGAUAUCAGGAGGAACACCAGCGGCGAAGGCGGUGCUCUGGGCCGGAACUGACGCUGAGGAGCGAAAGCGUGGGGAGCGAACAGG
rnacentral:rRNA from 1 species